CUCAAAAGGCCCGGCCCACAAAGGGCCGGCCCCCCAACCCCCCCAGACAAGCUGAGAACAAUGCGGCCUGUUUACCUGACAGAUUGUCCGCUUUCUUUUCAUCUCGUAGGAAAAGGGCUCCCGCGGGGAGCCGCUAAUCCCAGGCAAAGCCGGCUCGCCAGGGCUCUAUUGCCCUCACACAGUAAGAACUCUGGACACUUGCUAGUUCUGCUCUGCUACUGGUAAUGCCAACUUGGACUGGGCUCUCCGAGCUUUCUGUCUCCGCCAUCUUGCCUCGUGGUGGUAAGAUGGUGGCCUCAGCGCCGUGGGAAAUGCGAGGGUCUCCUAGGAAACCCCCUGUUGUGGUGUCUCAUUGGCCAGAGGCAGGUCACAUGACUAUCCUGGCAGCAAAGGAUGCUGGGAAUGGAACGCCUGCCCCUGUUUAUCCAGCGUCUACCGCAGAGCCAGGUUUCAAAUGGGAUUCGAAGAAAACUUUGAAUGUGACGUUCUCACACAUCCACAUUCGCGGGAAAAAUCGCCUCUCAAGCCCUAGAAUCCUCCGCUUCUCUGAGGCUCCCUGGACACUGUGGCCUGCAGCUACAGCACUCAUUGCUUCCGGCUUGAGUCAUCUACGAGGGCUUUCCGGCAGACAAAUCUAGAAGAUAACCAGUUUUAUGAAUGGACAUUUCCAGUUCAAGUUCAUGAUUACAGGGAUUUGAACCUUGCUUAUUUUAUCGUACAGCUGUGUCUCUUCUUGAUUAUGCUGAAAGUCUUGGUUGCUGACCAUAGAAAUAUUAUUCCUGUGUGGUAAUGCAGCAGCAAUGGUUCAUAACUCCGGGGGAGGGGUCGGGACCCUGUGCGUCCUUGGAUUGGGUGCAGAGUGGGUGGGUGGACAUGUGUGCAUGUGCACAUGAGUGUAAGGACCGGAUGUACGCGUGAGUGUGUAAGCUCAUGGGCAUUUUCUUAGUCUUCACACUGUCUUAGAGUUUUUAGUCUUGGUGUCAGGGACACGUUGGACCUGAGGAUUCUGGGGGUUGGGCACUGUCCCAUGCCCUGGAGGGUGCUGAGGGAGCGUCCCUGGCCAGGAGUACCCUCCCAAGGUGCCAAUCAAUCAGCCGCGGCUGCCUCUCCAGAUAUGGCUACAGCUGCCCCUGGUUCCAGGGCUUCGUCAAGAGUACCGAAAGCAUGAUGAGGCCACGGGACGCAUUUCGGGCACAAUGGGGACCGAUUUGGGAAAUGCUGUAGAGAGAUCGCAACAGUGAGUGCACUGACUUGUCAGGGCUGUCGCAGCCACGGGUCCAAACUGGGUGAUGACAGCCCCAGAACUCAGCGGGCCACCGUUCUGCAGAUGAACGUGUCGGCUGGAUGGGCCCUUCUGAGUGCUGAGAGGGAGACCGCUGGCCUGGCCUCUUCCCGGCUUCUAGACCUUUGCUGGCAACAUGGGGCACUCCAGGCUCGUAGACGCACUGCCCUGACUUCCGCCUUCUCUCCCGUGUGUGUGUGUGUGUGUGUGUGUGUGUGUGUGUGUUGAGUAGGACUACGCCAGCACCUGAUUUUGCUCCAGGGUGGCUAAAUGAGUUGCCACAGGCAAAGCCCCUGCUCCUUGAUGGGCAGGUGGUAAGUGCUCCAGGAGAGUGAAAAGGAACGGGCACCACCGUCAUCGCUGCUUUGACCACUUCCGGGGCUCACCCUUCUCCUACGAGAGUGAAUCUGUAUCCCCAUUUUCCUAACGAGACGUGUGAGGUACACGGGCCUUGGCGACCCGACCGGCACUCUCUGGGCCACAGGCUCACUGCUCCUCCAUGCCGCCUGGUCCUCUGUUCUGGAAGAUUGCAAAGUCCCUUUGCCCCCCGCCCCCAGCCCUCUGCCAGCUUCCCCCGGGGGAGCAGGGCCCCCGCCUGGGUGUGAGGAGCCCUGUGGCUGCCCUGGCGCUCAGCCGCCCACGGCUCUGUGUGCUGAGCGCAGCCCAGGCAUCUGCUGGUGCCGCCCCCAUGCACUGGGUGUGAAGCUUCUGUGAAACAGGUCCCGGGGACCCUGGCCAGUGUCCACGCGCACACAGAAGGCAUCCGCGAGGUGCCUGUGCCAGGCUCUGCUUUGUCGGGGAAAGUCCCUGGAGGCGCUUUUUUGCUUCUUUAGAGACCAGAUUGACUCGAGGUUCGGGAUCGCCCGACCCCACGCCACAGAGCUGGGACGCGCGCUCCAGGUCUCUGUUCCAGCACAGCCGAGUGCUAGAGGCGGAGCCCACUGGCUCACGGACGUGCUCGCAAGCUUGGGCUGUGUUUGCAGUUUAAAUGCAGCCACCUUUGGGGUCAUGGUGGUCCUCCCCCUGCCCACAGCAUGCUGGGAAGCCAAGGUCAGGAACUGGGCAGUGAGGGUGGGGGGGAGGUCUGGGUGGCUGCCCCUGCCUUGCCCCCUCCUGCCCCCGGUUCUCAGUGCCACUGGGCUCUGGUCACCAUGAUCGCGCAUCUCUUAGCUGCCUCCUUUCUCAAGCCUUCAGGGUGCUGCCCUGGCUCAAGCACCCCUCUUCCUCCCAGCUCAACUCCCUGCCACCCUUGCAGUGGCACUGGCACAGCUGCUGUCCGGUGAGGCCCACGGAGCCCCAGGGGCAGUCCCUGCAGGCCUCCGCUCCCGUGCAGCCCUCCCUGCUGCGUGGAACCCUGCUCCACUUUUUGGGACAAAGCCAUGCACAUCAGCCACCCCACUCCUGGGGUCAGGGACCCUGCUAGGAUCCGUCCCCUCCCUUAGCACCCCCUGCCAUAUUCCCAGUGCCGCGUACAAGGCUGUGGAGACCCCAGCGGUGCUUCCUAGAUGUUUACCCUGUAGACAGACGGGUGACUGCUGCUUCAAAGAGAGGGAGCUGGCCUUGUGCUCCCCUGUCACUGCCUCCUUGGGCUCAGGGCUAUUGGGCCAGGCCAUUGACCUUGACCCGCAAAAUGGUGGCCAUGACAGCUGGCACCUAAGGACAUCUCCUGAGCCCUGGCAUUCCUUGGGGUAUUUGACCUCUACUCACUGAAAAAAUUGUUUAUGUAUUUGAAAGGCAGAGUAACAGAGAAAGGGGGAAAUACAGAAAAAAAAGAGACAUCUUCCAACCAUCUUCCCUCCCCAAACAGAUGCAACAGCCCAAGCUAGGAGCCAGGAGCUUCUUCCUGGUCUCCCACGUCGGAGCAGUGGCCAGAGGACUUGAGCCAUCCUCCACUGCUUCCCCUGGUGCAUUAAUGGGGAGCUGGAUCCCAAGUGGAGCAAGCAUGCCGGGAGCCCGCCCUCCUACAUGGGAGGCCAGUGUCUCAGGUGGUGGCUGAGCCCUCUGCCUCACAACACCAGCCCCUCUCAUCACAUUCAUAGUCUCCCCCGUAACCUAUGAGAGAUGCUGUUGGUUCAUCCUAAGUUUUAAAACUUUUUAUAUCCAAGUAAAUUUGAACUUGAACAAUGCUGCAAAAAUAGUUCAAAAAUCCCCGAAUCUCCUCCUCCCCCACCCCAGUUUCCUCUUAUGCAUGGCACCGAGGUCAGAACCAGGGCACCGACAGAAAGAAAUGAGCCUGCUAACGACCCCACAGGCAGUGCUGGGCCCCGCCCCACAGCUGGCACAGGACCCCACUUAGCAGGUAGCGGUCCUGCCCCGUGGGCCCUCCCAUCAAGGACAGUCCCCCCUCCCGCCACUUAUCUGGUCUUUCACAGCCUUGGCACUUUCGAGGAGCCCGAACAGCUGUUCUGUAGAGACACCUGUCCAUGUAUGUUUGCCUGAUGCGGCUCAUGCUUAAAUUCAGCUUCUGUCUUUUGGGCAAGGAAGCCACGGGGGCGUGGCCCUACCCCACCCGAGCAGAGCAUCCUCUAGGCAGGAACUGGCUGUCGCAUGGAUGUUAUUUUCAAGAUGAGUCAGCUGCAGCCCUGGAGUGAAAAACCCAACGUCAGCUGGCCGCGGUCGAACCCUCACCGCCGGUGCCUCUGGUCAGCGACACUUGGCCCUGUGUCACAUCCCUUAUAGAGCCAGGGUCACUGCAAGGGGUCUCAGCUCAGCAGCCAGCUAAGAAG